rnacentral:rRNA from 1 species
UCAGAACGAACGCUGGCGGCGCGCCUAAUACAUGCAAGUCGAGCGAGAAGACGUAGCAAUACGUUUGUAAAGCGGCGAACGGGUGAGGAAUACAUGGGUAACCUACCCUUGAGUGGGGAAUAACUAGCCGAAAGGUUAGCUAAUACCGCGUACGCUCCUUGGACUUCGGUUCAGGGGGGAAAGCGAUACCGUGGGUAUCGCGCUCUUGGAUGGGCUCAUGUCCUAUCAGCUUGUUGGUGAGGUAACGGCUCACCAAGGCUUCGACGGGUAGCUGGUCUGAGAGGACGAUCAGCCACACUGGCACUGCGACACGGGCCAGACUCCUACGGGAGGCAGCAGUAAGGAAUAUUGCGCAAUGGGCGAAAGCCUGACGCAGCGACGCCGCGUGGGGGAUGAAGGUCUUCGGAUUGUAAACCCCUUUCGGGAGGGAAGAUGGAACGAGCAAUCGUUCGGACGGUACCUCCAGAAGCAGCCACGGCUAACUUCGUGCCAGCAGCCGCGGUAAUACGAAGGUGGCAAGCGUUGUUCGGAUUUACUGGGCGUACAGGGAGCGUAGGCGGUUCGGUAAGCCCUUUGUGAAAUCUCCAGGCUUAACCUGGAACAGUCGGAGGGGACUGCUGGGCUAGAGGACGGGAGAGGAGCGCGGAAUUCCCGGUGUAGCGGUGAAAUGCGUAGAGAUCGGGAGGAAGGCCGGUGGCGAAGGCGGCGCUCUGGAACGUUUCUGACGCUGAGGCUCGAAAGCGUGGGGAGCAAACAGGAUUAGAUACCCUGGUAGUCCACGCCUUAAACUAUGAAUACUAAGUGUCGGCGGGUUACCGCCGGUGCCGCAGCUAACGCAUUAAGUAUUCCGCCUGGGAAGUACGGC